rnacentral:rRNA from 1 species
CCUACGGGAGGCAGCAGUGGGGGAUAUUGCACAAUGGGGGAAACCCUGAUGCAGCGACGCCGCGUGGGUGAAGAAGCGCCUCGGCGCGUAAAGCCCUGUCAGCAGGGAAGAAAAUGACGGUAACUGAAGAAGAAGCCCCGGCUAACCACGUGCCAGCAGCCGCGGUAAUACGUAGGGGGCAAGCGUUAUCCGGAUUUACUGGGGGAAACGGGGGCGCAGACGGCGCUGCAAGCCAGGAGUGAAAGCCCGGGGCCCAACCCCGGGACUGCUCUUGGAACUGCGUGGCUAGAGUGCAGGAGGGGCAGGCGGAAUUCCAGGUGUAGCGGUGAAAUGCGUAGAUAUCAGGAGGAACACCGGUGGCGAAGGCGGCCUUCUGGACUGCAACUGACGUUGAGGCCCGAAAGCGUGGGGAGCAAACAGGAUUAGAUACCCUUGUAGUC